rnacentral:rRNA from 1 species
AUUGAACGCUGGCGGCAGGCCUAACACAUGCAAGUCGAGCGGAUGAAGGGAGCUUGCUCCUGGAUUCAGCGGCGGACGGGUGAGUAAUGCCUAGGAAUCUGCCUGGUAGUGGGGGAUAACGUCCGGAAAUGGGCGCUAAUACCGCAUACGUCCUGAGGGAGAAGGUGGGGGAUCUUCGGACCUCACGCUAUCAGAUGAGCCUAGGUCGGAUUAGCUAGUUGGUGGGGUAAAGGCCUACCAAGGCGACGAUCCGUAACUGGUCUGAGAGGAUGAUCAGUCACACUGGAACUGAGACACGGUCCAGACUCCUACGGGAGGCAGCAGUGGGGAAUAUUGGACAAUGGGCGAAAGCCUGAUCCAGCCAUGCCGCGUGUGUGAAGAAGGUCUUCGGAUUGUAAAGCACUUUAAGUUGGGAGGAAGGGCAGUAAGUUAAUACCUUGCUGUUUUGACGUUACCAACAGAAUAAGCACCGGCUAACUUCGU